rnacentral:lncRNA from 1 species
UCCACAGAUGCAGAACUCAUAGACAUCGAGGGCCAUCUGUAUUUGUUAUCAGUGAUAAAAGUUGAGCUUUCAACCAAACAUUAGAAUUUUGGAAAACAUGCACCUACCACCAAAAUCUUGACAGAUUCCCAGUACUUAGCCUUUGUUGAUGAAAUUGAUGAGGAGUUAGAAGUUACUUCUUUGUGCUGAUGUGGUGAUGCAUGGGAUGUUACAGAGCCAGCCACAGAAAUAAUUGACAGCUGGACCCAGCUCCUGUUUAUAAGGUUUAAGUCUACUACCCAUCUGAUAUGGUUAGGCUUUGUGUUGCUGUCCAAAUCUUAUCUUGAAUUGUAAUUCUCAUAAUCCUCGUAAUCUCCACGUAUCAAGGGAGUGACCACGUGGAGGUAAGUAAAUCAUGGGGGGGCAGUUUCACCUAUACUGUUCUUGUGAUCAUGAGUGAAUCUCAUGAGAUCUGACGGUUUUGUAAGGGACUCUUCCUUCUUUGCUCAGCAUUUCUCUUUCCUGGCACCUUGUGAAGAAUGUGCCUUGCAUCCCCUUAGCCUUCUGCAAUGACUGUAAGUUUCCUGAGGCUGCCCCAGCCAUGCUGAACUGUGAGUCAAUUAACCUUUUCCCUUUAUAAAUUACCCAGUCUCUGGCAGUUCUAUAUAGCAGCGUGAAAAUGGACGAAUACACAAUCUGAAAUUAGUUUUUAAUUUGAGGUGUGGUAAGGGUUGUUUCAUUUUUUUCUCCUGUUUAUUCCAAAUUAAAUGUGUAUCUACAUUGAACUGUUUUGAUAAUUUGGUUGAAAAUAAGAUAACUACAUAUGUGUAUACCCGUUUCUAUCAGCUUUCCCAUUUU